UACGUAGGGACCAAGCGUUGUUCGGAUUUACUGGGCGUAAAGGGCGCGUAGGCGGUCAGCACAAGUCAGUUGUGAAAUCUCCGGGCUUAACUCGGAAAGGUCAACUGAUACUGUGCGACUUUGAGUGUGGUAGAGGCAAUCGGAAUUCCAGGUGUAGCGGUGAAAUGCGUAGAUAUCUGGAAGAACACCGGUGGCGCAAGCGGAUUGCUGGGCCAUAACUGACAC
rnacentral:rRNA from 1 species